rnacentral:rRNA from 1 species
UACGUAGGGUGCGAGCGUUAAUCGGAAUUACUGGGCGUAAAGCGUGCGCAGGCGGUUCGUUAAGUCAGAUGUGAAAGCCCCGGGCUCAACCUGGGAACGGCAUUUGAAACUGGCGGGCUGGAGUGUGGCAGAGGGGGGUGGAAUUCCCGGUGUAGCGGUGAAAUGCGUAGAGAUCGGGAGGAACAUCAGUGGCGAAGGCGGCCCUCUGGACCAGCACUGACGCUGAGGCACGAAAGCGUGGGGAGCAAACAGG